rnacentral:rRNA from 1 species
AUGUCGGCUCAUGUGUGGGGGCAUGUGUCGAGCAUGCGUGAAGCUAGCCGGCCAGGUUUUGUUGGCCUCAUGCUGGUACGCAUGGGUGGCCUGCGUGGAUUGACGCCCUCGAACUUCCAGAGGCGUGGCAUCGUCUCGUUCCCCUCCCGCGGUGCCGCCUCCGCCGUGCCCGCGGCCGCCGCGGCGACGCCCCAACACGUCUCCCACUACCUCGCGCACAACUUCUUCCACUGGUCUGCCGCCUCGUCAUCGUCGCCCCACUCGCUCCGCUCCUACUGCCUCCUCGUGCACCUCCUCGCCCGCACGACCCUCAUCAGCCAUGCCUCUGUCCUCCUCAAGGCCGCCAUCACCAGGCGCUCCUCUUCGCUGGCUUCGCAUUUCCUGGACGCCUUCUUCCCAGCCUAUGAGGACGGCAACACUGCCAUGACGGCCCACGACCUCCACCUCCUGGUGCACGCCUACGCGCAGCUCCGCCUCCCGGAGGAGGCCCUCGAGGUCUGCUGGUACCUGGCGCUCCGCCGCAUGCUCCCUUUACUCUUCGCCUUCAACGCGGUGCUACAUGCGGCGCGGCACACCGGCCAGUUCCGGGCCACCGUCGAGCUUGUCGUCAGUGUGCUGAUCCGGGAGGGCGCACUUGCCAUGAUGCUGUGCAUGGUGGCGGAAGAAGGUCGUCUUCUAGGGAACCGCACGCUGGCCACCGUCUCCACCCACCAUGUCAACAGCGCGCGCAACAUCCCCUACCACCUCCUACUCGUGCCCUAUUGGUAA